GUCGAACGCUGGCGGCGUGCUUAACACAUGCAAGUCGAACGGAAAGGCCCCUUUGGGGGUACUCGAGUGGCGAACGGGUGAGUAACACGUGAGUAACCUGCCCUUGACUUCGGGAUAACUUCAGGAAACUGGGGCUAAUACCGGAUAGGAAUCCUUGCUGCAUGGUGGGGGUUGGAAAGCUUCGGCGGUUUUGGAUGGACUCGCGGCUUAUCAGCUUGUUGGUGGGGUAGUGGCUUACCAAGGCUUUGACGGGUAGCCGGCCUGAGAGGGCGACCGGCCACAUUGGGACUGAGAUACGGCCCAGACUCCUACGGGAGGCAGCAGUGGGGAAUAUUGCACAAUGGGCGGAAGCCUGAUGCAGCAACGCCGCGUGCGGGAUGACGGCCUUCGGGUUGUAAACCGCUUUCAGCAGGGGCGAAGCUUGUGGUGACGGUACCUGCAGAAGAAGCACCGGCUAACUACGUG
rnacentral:rRNA from 1 species